rnacentral:misc_RNA from 1 species
GAUGAAGAACGCAGCGAAAUGCGAUAAGUAGUGUGAAUUGCAGAAGUACCGUGAAUCAUCGAAUCUUUGAACGCAAAUUGCACUCUCUGGUAUUCCGGGGAGUAUGCCUGUUUGAGGGUCGCUUAACAAACCAUCGAUUUCGUUGCUUUUUUUUUAAAGAGUGAUGUUUAUCGGAUUUGAGCCGUCUUUUUUUUUAUAUUUAAAAGUGGCUUAAAAUUGAUUUUUUUGGUACGAUCGAAGCGUAUUUUUAUGAUCAAUUUUUGGUUAAAGAAACGCACACGUACCGUUAUUUAUAUGAUGUAAUACGUUUGACUAUUGGAUUUAGUUCAUUCGUAUACGAUAUCUUUCAAUAUUUGACCUCAAAUCAGGUAAGAACACCCGCUGAACUUAAGCAUAUCAAUAAGCGGAGGA